rnacentral:lncRNA from 1 species
ACUGAGAUCUAAGCUUUUCAAUUUCCUCAAACCAUUAUACACCAAGGGUAAUAUCAAACUGCGAGCACAUUGAUGCUUUACCUUCCGCCCUCUUCUUUGUGAUAGGAUCUUGAGUUUUCCUAAGUUUUCAAUAGAAUCUGGGAGUUGACGAAUAGAAGUGUUGCCUGCAUAAAGCUCCUGCUAGUUUCCUGGUUCAAAAUCUGCUGGUUAAGAUGGAAAGCUGUAGUAUGACCAAUCAAGCCAUUUCAAGUAACUGGUAAAGAUCCAUGUAGUGUCUGCAAUUUUGGAAUCAUUUCUUCUUCAUUUUUGUGUUAUCAAUAUGCAUGGGGAUGUGUCCAGCAACUUUUUUGUUCUGCUGUGAAGUACUUCAUUGCCUUCUAAUUUUCUGGAUACACCUGUUCUCAAUGUUACAAAUGUUAUGAUUUGGAAACUUAUAAUUUAGA